UGGCCAACUUGUGCCCCAUGACUUUUCUAUAUAAUUCCUUAGUCUGUCCUAACAAUGAAAACAAUUUGCUGCCAACAUCCAUUUUAGGAAAUGAUGAAUAGCAUUCUGUGCCAAUCCCAGUCAUUUAGUGGCAGCUGUCUCUGUAUGUAACAUUGAAGGAAUCUGAGGUUACUUGGGGGUUCAAAAGGACCACACAGGCAUCACUAGAUAUAGAUAUCCUAAAAGUUACACUAAACUUUGGAAUAGAGAUGACUUAAAUAAUUACUUUCUUUUGUGUAUGUGCCAUAUUCCAUUUAAAUGCUUUGCAUUUGUCAAUUUAUUUAAUGUUUACCAAAAAAAUUAUAAGGUAGAUAAUGGCAUGGAAAGUUUGGCCAAGGCAGUUCAGCUGGUAAGUGGCAGGUGAAUGUUACAUUGCCUUUUAGUAGGUUGACAACUAGGAGUUUGCAGUCAGAUUGCUGAUUCUUACUUGUGCCAUUCAUGAAUACACAUCACAAGUAGGUAUGGCUUUAACUACAUAGUGGAAAGCAUUCACUACUUAGUGGAUUAACAGUUAUUGAUAAUACACAUGGGUCUUAGAAUUAACCACUUUUUCCUAUGUAGGCAGAAAGUGAAACUCUUCACUGCUCACAACAAUAUGACCAACUAUGCUACCGUAUGGGCAUCAAAAACAAACCUUGAGCAACGGAAAGGGCGAGCUGGCCGAGUACGGCCUGGAUUCUGCUUUCACCUGUGCAGUCGAGCUCGUUUUGAGAGACUUGAAACCCACAUGACACCAGAGAUGUUCCGAACACCAUUGCAUGAAAUUGCUCUUAGCAUAAAACUUCUGCGUCUAGGAGGAAUUGGCCAAUUUCUGGCCAAAGCAAUUGAACCUCCCCCUUUGGAUGCUGUGAUUGAAGCAGAACACACUCUUAGAGAGCUUGAUGCAUUAGAUGCCAAUGAUGAGUUGACUCCUUUGGGACGAAUCCUGGCUAAACUCCCCAUUGAGCCUCGUUUUGGCAAAAUGAUGAUAAUGGGGUGUAUUUUCUACGUGGGAGAUGCUAUCUGUACCAUUGCUGCUGCUACCUGCUUUCCAGAGCCUUUCAUCAAUGAAGGAAAGCGGCUGGGCUAUAUCCAUCGAAAUUUUGCUGGAAACAGAUUUUCUGAUCACGUAGCCCUUUUAUCAGUAUUCCAAGCCUGGGAUGAUGCUAGAAUGGGUGGAGAAGAAGCAGAGAUACGUUUUUGUGAGCACAAAAGACUGAAUAUGGCUACACUAAGAAUGACCUGGGAAGCCAAAGUUCAGCUCAAAGAGAUUUUGAUUAAUUCUGGGUUUCCAGAAGAUUGUUUGUUGACACAAGUGUUUACUAACACUGGACCAGAUAAUAAUUUGGAUGUUGUUAUCUCCCUCCUGGCCUUUGGUGUGUACCCCAAUGUGUGCUAUCAUAAGGAAAAGAGGAAGAUUCUCACCACUGAAGGGCGUAAUGCACUUAUCCACAAAUCAUCUGUUAAUUGUCCUUUUAGUAGCCAAGACAUGAAGUACCCAUCUCCCUUCUUUGUAUUUGGUGAAAAGAUUCGAACUCGAGCCAUCUCUGCUAAAGGCAUGACUUUAGUCACCCCCCUGCAGUUGCUUCUCUUUGCCUCCAAGAAAGUCCAAUCUGAUGGGCAGAUUGUGCUUGUAGAUGACUGGAUUAAACUGCAAAUAUCUCAUGAAGCUGCUGCCUGUAUCACUGGUCUCCGGGCAGCCAUGGAGGCUCUGGUUGUUGAAGUAACCAAACAACCUGCUAUCAUCAGCCAGUUGGACCCCGUAAAUGAACGUAUGCUGAACAUGAUCCGUCAGAUCUCUAGACCCUCAGCUGCUGGUAUCAACCUUAUGAUUGGCAGUACACGGUAUGGAGAUGGUCCACGUCCUCCCAAGAUGGCCCGAUAUGACAAUGGAAGUGGAUAUAGAAGGGGAGGUUCUAGUUACAGUGGUGGAGGCUAUGGCAGUGGCUAUAGCAGUGGAGGCUAUGGUAGCGGAGGCUAUGGUGGCAGUGCCAACUCCUUUCGGGCAGGAUAUGGUGGUGUUGGUGGAGGCUAUAGAGGAGUUUCCCGAGGUGGCUUUAGAGGCAACUCUGGAGGAGACUACAGAGGGCCUAGUGGAGGCUACAGAGGAUCUGGGGGAUUCCAGCGAGGAGGUGGUAGGGGGGCCUAUGGAACUGGCUACUUUGGACAGGGAAGAGGAGGUGGCGGCUAUUAAAACUUGGUUAUGUCAGUUCCUGUGUGUAGACAGUAAGGAAAAAAAGGCAUGCUAUGUGUUACGUGUUUCUUCCAGUAUGUUUAUUUGCCACCAAAAAGUAAAUGCAUUUUCACCCAUUCUGUGGUUCAUUGUAGUUUAAGGAAACCAAGCAUAUAGAUGCAUUAGUGAUUUUGUUUAUAUUAUGUAAAAUAUAACGAUCUCUUAAAAAUACCACAGUUUGUAUUUUUUCUUUAAGGAGUAAAGAUUUGCCUUUAAAUAACUUGGUAUUUUCCUGGCUUUCGUUUAAUACAAUAGAAAAUAAAGUAUUACACCG
rnacentral:sRNA from 1 species